AUGCUUUAGGAGGGGCUUGCGCCAUAUUAGUUAGUUGGUAGGGUAAUGGCCUACCAAGACGAUGAUGUGUAGCUGGACUGAGAGGUUGAACAGCCACAUUGGGACUGAGACACGGCCCAAACUCCUACGGGAGGCAGCAGUAGGGAAUUUUCGGCAAUGGAGGAAACUCUGACCGAGCAACGCCGCGUGAAUGACGAAGUACUUCGGUAUGUAAAGUUCUUUUAUCAAGGAAGAAAAGCAAAUGGCGAACCAUUUGUUUGCCGGUACUUGAUGAAUAAGCCCCGGCUAAUUAUGUGCCAGCAGCCGCGGUAAGACAUAAGGGGCAAGUGUUAUCCGGAAUUAUUGGGCGUAAAGGGUGCGUAGGCGGUCUAGUAAGUCAGUGGUGUAAUGGCAACGCUUAACGUUGUCCGGCUAUUGAAACUGCUAAACUUGAGUUAGAUAGAGGCGAGUGGAAUUCCAUGUGUAGCGGUAAAAUGCGUAAAUAUAUGGAGGAACACCAGAGGCGUAGGCGGCUCGCUGGGUCUUAACUGACGCUGAGGCACGAAAGCGUGGGGAGCAAACAGGAUUAGAUACCCUGGUAGUCCACGCCGUAAACGAUGAGUACUAAGUGUCGGGUUAAACCGGUACUGAAGUUAACACAUUAAGUACUCCGCCUGAGUAGUACGUACGCAAGUAUGAAACUUAAAGGAAUUGACGGGACUCCGCACAAGCGGUGGAUCAUGUUGUUUAAUUCGAAGAUACCCGAAAAACCUUACCAGGUCUUGACAUGUUUUUGCAAAAUGAUAGUAAUAUCGUGGGAGGUUACCAGAAACACAGGUGGUGCAUGGUUGUCGUCAGCUCGUGUCGUGAGAUGUUAGGUUAAGUCCUAAAACGAGCGAAACCCUUAUCGUUAGUUGCCAGCACGUUAUGGUGGGGACUUUAACGAGACUGCCAAUGAUAAAUUGGAGGAAGGUGAGGAUCACGUCAAAUCAGCAUGCCCCUUAUGACCUGGGCUACAAACGUGAUACAAUGGCUGUUACAAAGGGUAGCUGAAACGCAAGUUCUUGGCCAAUCCCCAAAAACAGUCCCAGUCCGGAUUGAAGUCUGCAACUCGACUUCAUGAAGUNGGAAUCGCUAGUAAUCG
rnacentral:rRNA from 1 species